AGAACAGGGUCAUCGCUCUUGGCGACUGUAAGGCACUCCAUUCGCUUAGAUUUUGGGCGUCUUACAAGUUUGGGCGAUGAUGUUACUGUGUUCAUGAACUUCCACUGUAUUUAUUAAUAACCCUGUCUGGACCUUUAUCCUGAAUUACCCAGUUGAGUUUCAUACUUUGGGCUAUUUGAUUUGGGAAUUUCUCAAUUGAACUUCAUUCCUUGGACAAUUCGAUUUGGGCUAUAUUUUUAGUCUGUCAACAGUUGGAGAGAAUUUGAUUUGAGUUAUGCAGAACAGCUCGUCAUUGCCCUGGCUUUGCAACAUCACCACAAAUAUCUGCGUGGAUGUUUAGUGACAGAUGCAAAAAUAAAGAGAGAAGAAAAAGGGUGAAACAAGAUUCCUCAGAAAAAUGGCGUCUAAAGAAACCUGCAGAACCGAACUCCGUUCCGCCGUAUGACUCCUCAGUGACUUCUGUCUCUACUCUGCGUUCAAAUGGGCAGUGAAGCAAUUGAUGGGGAUAGAGCAAGACCCUGCGAAGCACACCCCUUCGCACACUCGAUUCCAACAUGGCCAUGCCGUUGAUGGCGGUUUCGGAGGAGUAUGAUUUUGAUGCUAUUGAUAAUGAUUUUUAUUUGCCAGCUCUUACUUUGACUCAGAGACUACUGUCGGGAGGCCCAUGUGCUCCGUGACCAGAUAAGCAAGAAAGCGGUCUUCUUUAUGCGCCAUGUCUAGUUGGUUUUCUGCACAAAUCUUGGUUACAUUGCUGUUUAUAAUUGCUCAUUUAUGGCUUUUAGAUACUUAAAAUUUUGAUAACUUGAUUUUAAUUGAUAAAUGCUCUUUUUCUAUGUGGGGUAUAUUGAUUGUUGAA